GGCAGCAUAGUGUAGUGGUUUGAAAUUUGGACUAUGACUCUGGAGACCAGGGUUCGAUUCCCAGCUUGGCCA